AGAAAAGGAAAAAGGAUCGGUGGCAGCAAGUAGACCGGUGACGACGACCGUCGAGCGCCACCCGAACAGGAAGAGGAGCCACUUUCGGUUCUCUUUCCUUCUCACAGUGUAAUGGAUAUGAGGCUCCCAGGUGAUCAUGGUAGAGGUCUGCUGCUUCUGAGGAUCCUGCAUCUCUUCUUGCACCACUUUGGGCCAGAAGAUUGGGAAUUCCUUUGCCUGAUAAGAAGCUGUGUGUCAAACAGUCCUGGAGUGUCAACCACACUGACAUCCCUCCCAUCUACUGCUGCCUGUUUCCUUUCUGUUUUAUGUGUUACAGAGGACCAGUUCAGUUCAGAAUGGAAACUUCUCCCACCAAGGAUGGUGUUUCCUGAUGCACUCUUCCCAACACCGGUUUUUCCAAGCAGAACAAUCCUUCUCUCUGGGAGAUUCCUGAUGGAGGAGCUCCUUGAAUGUGUUGAAUCUGUGUAUAGAGAAAUACAUCACAUUUGAUAAACUGAUACAGUAAAAUGACUACCAUCUCAUCCCCUGUACAGGCAGUUAUUGGUGCACUGAAUAAUAAUGCUUAAUAUCUGGUGUUUAAAUCUUUAUGGUGAAUGUGGAGUUCAGGUGGAAUUUGUAAAAGGGAUCUGUCGCACGCCAAGACAACUUAUUAAAGUUACAAUGGGGGGGAUAAUGCAUUUACAUUAUUGUUAUCCCAGAAUAAGAGACCAGAGGGUUAUACUACGUAGCGGGAUAGAGGAGUUAGCUAGCUAACUUUGGUGAAUUCUGAGUUCAACUCGGGAUAACUGUCAAACUUAACGAGGACCCCUUUUUCACGCCUAUAGAAAAUAACUGUAUGAAGUUCUACUGUGUUAUGAUUCAAAUGCAUCCUGUCAUCACUAAAUGUGUACUGUAUUUCAAUAUUACUAUUUUAACACAAAAUAACAUUUUAUUAGUAAAUAUUUAAUCAAUCUUGA